AGAGUUUGAUCCUGGCUCGGGAUGAACGCUAGCGGCAGGCUUAACACAUGCAAGUCGAGGGGUAACAGUCCUAAGCAAUUAGGAGCUGACGACCGGCGCACGGGUGCGUAACGCGUAUGCAACCUACCUUUAACUGGAGCAUAGCCCGGAGAAAUCCGGAUUAACACUCCAUAAUAUCUUAUAAGGGCAUCCUUUAAAGAUUAAAAUUUCGAUGGUUAGAGAUGGGCAUGCGUGACAUUAGAUAGUUGGUGAGGUAACGGCUCACCAAGUCAACGAUGUCUAGGGGUUCUGAGAGGAUUAUCCCCCACACUGGUACUGAGACACGGACCAGACUCCUACGGGAGGCAGCAGUGAGGAAUAUUGGUCAAUGGACGCAAGUCUGAACCAGCCAUGCCGCGUGCAGGAUGACGGCCCUAUGGGUUGUAAACUGCUUUUAUAUGGGAAGAAACCUACGAACGCGUUCGGAGCUGACGGUACCAUAAGAAUAAGCACCGGCUAACUCCGUGCCAGCAGCCGCGGUAAUACGGAGGGUGCAAGCGUUAUCCGGAUUUAUUGGGUUUAAAGGGUGCGCAGGCGGAAUAAUAAGUCAGUGGUGAAAUCUCUCGGCUCAACCGAGGAACUGCCAUUGAUACUGUUAAUCUAGAGUUUAGUUGAAGUAGGCGGAAUAUAGCAUGUAGCGGUGAAAUGCAUAGAUAUGCUAUAGAACACCGAUUGCGAAGGCAGCUUACUAAGCUAAAACUGACGCUCAGGCACGAAAGCGUGGGGAUCAAACAGGAUUAGAUACCCUGGUAGUCCACGCUGUAAACGAUGAUCACUCGUUGUUGGCGAUACACAGUCAGCGACUGAACGAAAGUACUAAGUGAUCCACCUGGGAAGUACGAUCGCAAGGUUGAAACUCAAAGGAAUUGACGGGGGCCCGCACAAGCGGUGGAGCAUGUGGUUUAAUUCGAUGAUACGCGAGGAACCUUACCUGGGCUUAAAUGUUUAAUGACCGUCCCCGAAAGGGGAUUUUCCUUCGGGACAUUUUACAAGGUGCUGCAUGGUUGUCGUCAGCUCGUGCCGUGAGGUGUCGGGUUAAGUCCCAUAACGAGCGCAACCCCUAUUCUUAGUUGCCAUCAGGUAAUGCUGGGGACUCUAAGAAAACUGCCUACGCAAGUAGUGAGGAAGGUGGGGAUGACGUCAAAUCAGCACGGCCCUUAUGUCCAGGGCUACACACGUGCUACAAUGGCCAGUACAGAGGGUCGCUACCUGGUGACAGGAUGCUAAUCUCGAAAGCUGGUCUCAGUUCGGAUUGGAGUCUGCAACUCGACUCCAUGAAGCUGGAAUCGCUAGUAAUCGCACAUCAGCCAUGGCGCGGUGAAUACGUUCCCGGGCCUUGUACACACCGCCCGUCAAGCCAUGGAAGUUGGGGGUACCUAAAGUCCGUAACCGCAAGGAGCGGCCUAGGGUAAAACCAAUGACUGGCA
rnacentral:rRNA from 1 species